rnacentral:rRNA from 1 species
UACGUAGGAGACGAGCGUUGUCCGGAGUUACUGGGCGUAAAGGGUGCGCAGGUGGCGGCGCGCGUGGGGGGUGAAAUCGCCCGGCUUAACUGGGCGGGGGCCUUCCAGACGGCGUGGCUUGAGCAGUGGAGGGGGACGUGGAAUUCCGGGUGGAGCGGUGAAAUGCGUAGAGAUUGGGAAGAACACCGGUGGCGAAAGCGCUCUACUGGGCCUGCACUGACACUGAGGGACGAAAGCUAGGGGAGCGAAAGGG